rnacentral:lncRNA from 1 species
GAAAAUGCAAUAUAAAAUAUAAGUUCAAAAUAGUAUUUUGAAGGAGACAGAAUCAUGAUAUAUCAAAGCAUGACAUCAAAACCAAAAUCCUAAACUAGGUACCAUAUCAAUUACAAAUGACUACUUGCAAUGCAAUUUGCAAAACUUACAUGACCAGGAGGAAAAAUAAUAUCACAACCAGUCAACCAUACUGAUUAAAUAAAAAGUGCUUCCAUUUCUUGUCUCCUGCAUUCAUCCUAAAGCCAUUGAGGGGGUCUACUCGAUAAAGAUCACAUUUUCAGCCAAGCCUACUGGGAACCAUGAAUGUACAUUGAGAAAAAGAAAAAACAAAAACCUGUCAAUAUAUAUACCAGUUAAAGACCAUCAAAGCAUAUAGCAUUCAGCACCUGAUAAAUAUAACUGAACCAUAAUAUCUGUUGCUAUAGUAUUUGUUAAUAUAAGGUAUGCUUCAAUUACCAGUAGCAUUGCAGUCAACCCGUGCUACCAACCUUAAGAAAUUAGAAAUGUAGUGAUCCUGCAUCAAAAUAGUAGAAGUUACUUCUAUAGACAAAUUCCUCUGCUGGAACCAUGAUACUUGUCAAAUAGGAUGUCAAAGUGAUUCAGUUUCAUUUUAUUCUCACAAAAGAACAUUACUGAUAUGAUUAAUUAUUUCUUCUUAUAACUAAAUCAGAAUUACAGAACCAUGAGGUUCUGGUUGUGGUGUGGCAGAAUUUAUAUCAACACAAUAUAAGGGGCAGUGGAUAAUUUUCUUCUUUAUUACAAGAACAAGAAUGCUGAACUCAAGUCCUAAUCUCUUCUGCCAUGAUAACAGAAUAUACUGGUAACUAGUUAAUAAAUUAACAGCUUUACUAGCAAUAUUGAGCAGAAGGAACUCAUAAAAAAGUAUCAAGUACAAACUAGUAAAUACAAGAUUGGCUAUAGAGAGAAGCCAAAUCAUAUCAAGAUCUCAUCACAUCUGUCUGCAAAUGUAUUUCAUGAUUUAAUGCCCUGAAACUCGUGCCAUGAAAAAGAAAUUCUAUGUAUGAGAGAGUUCAUGUUUAGCAGAUAAAAUGAAUUAGAUCAUACAUUCAUACAUUACAAUGCAAGUUACUAGAAUCUCAAAAGGACAGUGUGUUUAUUGAUAUAACAAAUAGCAAGUUUCAGGACAGAGAAGAUAAGCAGAACUGAGAUUGAUGAAACUCGAUUAAUGUUUAGUAACGCAUAUUGUAUGUCUGUGACAUUGCAAUGCCCAAGAGUUUUUAUUUUUGUUUUAAUUAUUCAAUUAUUUAUAUUAAUUUCAGGGAAGAGCUAAGAGAACCUUAUCAUGAAAAUUCAAGAUAAAAUAUAAGUUCCAAAGAGUAUAUUUUGAAGGAGACAGAGACAGGAUAUAUCAAAUAACAAAUGACUACUUGAAUGAAUCAGCAAAACUUACAUGACAAGGAAAAAUAAUAUCACAUCCAUACCGAUUAAAUAAAAAAUGCUUCCAUUUCUUCUCUCCUGCAAUCAUCCUAAAGUCAUUGUGGGGGUCUACUUGAUAAAGAUCACCUUCCACACCAAGCCUACUGGGAACGACGAAUGCACAUUGAGAAAAAGAAUGAACAAAUUGAACCUUAUAAAGAACAUCAAAGCAUAUAGCAUUCAACACCUGAUAAAAUAAUUGAACCUCUAUAUAUGUUGUCUAUAGUGAUUUGUGAAUAUAAGGUAUGGCUUCAAUUACCAGUAGCAUUGUAGUCAACACAUUAAGAAAUGUAGUGAUCCAGCAUCAAAAGAGUAAUAGAAGUUACUUUUAAAGACAGAUUCCUCUAGUGGAACCAUGAUACUUGUCAAAUAGGAUGUCAAAGUGAUUCCAGUAACUUAUUAUUCCAGUAACUUGGAAGGCAUCAAAAUCUUCUAACUCAAAUGCCAAUACAACACAAUAGAGAUCAGUUAAUUACCAUUAUAAUUUCAAAAGUCUCAGGCAAUUUUCUGGGACCAUUUUGCAGGUAGCUUGUAAUGUUGGUGGUUCNNNNNNNNNNNNNNNNNNNNUGGUGUAGAAAGUUGGAUCAAGACUACCUAAUAUAGCUUGAAACAUAAUUGAAACCCAGAGGAGGAGGGACAUGUGAAAGGGGAUUCAUACCUCAGUGUCGGUCUCUAUCAGUGUGCAGAGACAUGGACCACACCAUGGAUAGCAGGGAUGAAUAGCCUUAUGGGUUGUGCUAUAUAUACAUGAGGAUCGGAGUUAACUGUUCUUCAAUGUGUGCUUCUUCUACCAGAGUAUUAGCUAGCUAGAAACCCAGUUCUUCUACUAGAGUAUUAGCUAGCUAGAAACCCAGUUUUCCUUUGCUUUGCUUUCCAGUAGAAAUGAGAAACUUGUUGCUUCUCCUCAGUGUGGUGGUGUUUGUUGUUGGGUUGCUCGCUCCAAUCAAUGGAGUAGGGCGCUCAUCAACAACAACCCAUGCCACCGUGUCUCCUGCCUCUUCCCCUCAGCCUCCACCCGCUCAUAUUCUACCUAAAGGCUCCGCCACGUUCGGCUUCAUUCUCCUCGGAUUCGCCAUAGUUGCUCUUGGCUAUUGGUGGGCUUCCUUCUUUUGGUCUUUGAUAGUCAUCGAAGAUAGACCGAGGGUGGUCGUGAGAGCGGCGACAAGAGGGGUGUUGGACUGUUUUCCUAUCUUUAUAGCCAUCCUCAAACUGUACAUCGCUGCAUAUCUAACCGUCAAAAUGUUCUGGCCGGCGAUGCGAGUGAUAGAUGCCCACAGAGUGCCACCGUGGGAAAAUAUUUGGGAGCCAGUUUAAGCUUUAACUGAGUUUUUUAUUUUUUUAUGCUUUUCUGUUAGUUGCCAAUUACUAAGAUUUGAGAUGGGUAACU